rnacentral:rRNA from 1 species
GACGUAGGAGGCGAGCGUUGUCCGGAGUUACUGGGCGUAAAGGGUGCGCAGGCGGCCCCUUAAGGUGGCGGUGAAAUCUCCCGGCUUAACUGGGAGGGGGCCUCGAAAACUGCCAGGCUUGAGGCAUGGAGAGGGUCGUGGAAUUCCCAGUGUAGAGGUGAAAUUCGUAGAUAUUGGGAAGAACACCGGUGGCGAAGGCGGCGACCUGGUCCUUGACUGACGCUGAGGCGCGAAAGCGUGGGGAGCAAACAGG